AUACGGAGGAUCCAAGCGUUAUCCGGAAUCAUUGGGUUUAAAGGGUCCGUAGGCUGUUUAGUAAGUCAGUGGUGAAAGUUUUCGGCUCAACCGGAAAAUUGCCAUUGAUACUGCAAGACUUGAAUUAUCGUGAAGUGUUUAGAAUGUGUAGUGUAGCGGUGAAAUGCAUAGAUAUUACACAGAAUACCGGUUGCGAAGGCAGAGCAUUAACAAUAUAUUGACGCUGAUGGACGAAAGCGUGGGUAGCGAACAGAAUUAGAAACACUAGUAGUCC
rnacentral:rRNA from 1 species